rnacentral:rRNA from 1 species
GAUGAACGCUGGCUGCGUGCCUAAUACAUGCAAGUCGAGCGAACGGACGAGAAGCUUGCUUCUCUGAUGUUAGCGGCGGACGGGUGAGUAACACGUGGAUAACCUACCUAUAAGACUGGGAUAACUUCGGGAAACCGGAGCUAAUACCGGAUAAUAUUUUGAACCGCAUGGUUCAAAAGUGAAAGACGGUCUUGCUGUCACUUAUAGAUGGAUCCGCGCUGCAUUAGCUAGUUGGUAAGGUAACGGCUUACCAAGGCAACGAUGCAUAGCCGACCUGAGAGGGUGAUCGGCCACACUGGAACUGAGACACGGUCCAGACUCCUACGGGAGGCAGCAGUAGGGAGUCUUCCGCAAUGGGCGAAAGCCUGACGGAGCAACGCCGCGUGAGUGAUGAAGGUCUUCGGAUCGUAAAACUCUGUUAUUAGGGAAGAACAUAUGUGUAAGUAACUGUGCACAUCUUGACGGUACCUAAUCAGAAAGCCACGGCUAACUACGUGCCAGCAGCCGCGGUAAUACGUAGGUGGCAAGCGUUAUCCGGAAUUAUUGGGCGUAAAGCGCGCGUAGGCGGUUUUUUAAGUCUGAUGUGAAAGCCCACGGCUCAACCGUGGAGGGUCAUUGGAAACUGGAAAACUUGAGUGCAGAAGAGGAAAGUGGAAUUCCAUGUGUAGCGGUGAAAUGCGCAGAGAUAUGGAGGAACACCAGUGGCGAAGGCGACUUUCUGGUCUGUAACUGACGCUGAUGUGCGAAAGCGUGGGGAUCAAACAGGAUUAGAUACCCUGGUAGUCCACGCCGUAAACGAUGAGUGCUAAGUGUUAGGGGGUUUCCGCCCCUUAGUGCUGCAGCUAACGCAUUAAGCACUCCGCCUGGGGAGUACGACCGCAAGGUUGAAACUCAAAGGAAUUGACGGGGACCCGCACAAGCGGUGGAGCAUGUGGUUUAAUUCGAAGCAACGCGAAGAACCUUACCAAAUCUUGACAUCCUUUGACAACUCUAGAGAUAGAGCUUUCCCCUUCGGGGGACAAAGUGACAGGUGGUGCAUGGUUGUCGUCAGCUCGUGUCGUGAGAUGUUGGGUUAAGUCCCGCAACGAGCGCAACCCUUAAGCUUAGUUGCCAUCAUUAAGUUGGGCACUCUAAGUUGACUGCCGGUGACAAACCGGAGGAAGGUGGGGAUGACGUCAAAUCAUCAUGCCCCUUAUGAUUUGGGCUACACACGUGCUACAAUGGACAAUACAAAGGGCAGCGAAACCGUGAGGUCAAGCAAAUCCCAUAAAUUUGUUCUCAGUUCGGAUUGUAGUCUGCAACUCGACUACAUGAAGCUGGAAUCGCUAGUAAUCGUAGAUCAGCAUGCUACGGUGAAUACGUUCCCGGGUCU